GGCAAUUCAUUUGGGUCCCCUUGCCGUUCUGUGGGAGGUUUGUUCUUUUGCUCUUUGCAAUAACUUGCUGCUGCUUACUUUUUGGGUCCACACUGCUUUUAUGGGCUGUAACACUCACGACGAAGGUCUGCAGCUUCACUUCUGAAGCCAGCGAGACCACGAACCCACCGGGAGAGAACGAACAACUCCAGACGCACCGCCUUAAAAGCUGUAACACUCCCCGAGAGGGUCCGCGGCUUCAUUCUUGAAGUCAGUGAGACCAAGAACCCACCAAUUCCGGACACGAUAGUGCUGCCAAACCAGCCUGGAAAACGCGGCCUUCUGGACUUCUUGUACCGUGCGGUAAGGAAAAGUCUCUAUUGCUUAAGUCAGUGGUUCUUGUCUUAGCUGUGCACUAGAAGCACCUGGGGGGAUUUAAAAUUUGCCAAUUCCCAGACCACACCCCAUACCAAUUAAAUUGGAAUUCUGGAGGAUUCCAAUUAAGUUGGAAGCUCCCUGGUAGUUGCAGUGUACACCCCUCUGCUACUCAAAUUAUGGUCCCUGGACUAGAAGCGUGGACUUUACUUAAGAGCUUAUUAUAGAUGCCAUUCCAUGCCCAAUGAAUUAGAAGCUGCUGUUUAACAAGGAACCCAGGUGAUUUGUAUGCACACGAAAGUUUCAGAAGCACUGACUAAGCAACUGUUAAUUUACUCUACUCCUUGCAGCUGAACAAAUCCUGAUUCACAUUCAAAUAGUCAGCACUCCAAGUCACUAAGAAUCCCAGCCCAUCAAGGGUUCCCUUUUUCAGAAAGAGCCAGAUGAUCUGCAUUCAGAAGCGUGGUGUCUCCUGGCUACUGUCCAUCUCUACAGCAGGUCACACACAAUUUUUUGGAUCAUCUGAUUUUCACCAGAGCAUGAAUCUCUUCGGGACUUCUGUGUAAACAGUUUUCUCAAACUUUUAGCCAAAAAGCUUCUCUCCUCCAGCC
rnacentral:lncRNA from 1 species